AUUGAACGCUGGCGGCAUGCUUUACACAUGCAAGUCGAACGGCAGCACGGGCUUCGGCCUGGUGGCGAGUGGCGAACGGGUGAGUAAUGCAUCGGAACGUGCCCAUUUGUGGGGGAUAACUACGCGAAAGCGUGGCUAAUACCGCAUACGCCCUGAGGGGGAAAGCGGGGGAUUCUUCGGAACCUCGCGCAAUUGGAGCGGCCGAUGUCAGAUUAGCUUGUUGGUGAGGUAAAGGCUCACCAAGGCGACGAUCUGUAGCGGGUCUGAGAGGAUGAUCCGCCACACUGGGACUGAGACACGGCCCAGACUCCUACAGGAGGCAGCAGUGGGGAAUUUUGGACAAUGGGGGCAACCCUGAUCCAGUCAUGCCGCGUGAGUGAAGAAGGCCUCGGUUGUAAGACGUCUUUCUAGCCGGGAAGGAAAACGACGACUACUCUAA
rnacentral:rRNA from 1 species